UACGUAGGUGACCAGCGUUGUCCGGAUUUACUGGGCGUAAAGAGCUCGUAGGCGGUGUGUCACGUCGGCCGUGAAAACCUGCAGCUUAACUGUGGGCGUGCGGUCGAUACGGGCAUCACUGGAGUUCGGCAGGGGAGACUGGAAUUCCUGGUGUAGCGGUGAAAUGCGCAGAUAUCAGGAGGAACACCGGUGGCGAAGGCGGGUCUCUGGGCCGAUACUGACGCUGAGGAGCGAAAGCGUGGGGAGCAAACAGG
rnacentral:rRNA from 1 species